rnacentral:rRNA from 1 species
GAUGAACGCUGGCGGCGUGCCUAAUACAUGCAAGUCGAGCGAACAGACGAGGAGCUUGCUCCUCUGACGUUAGCGGCGGACGGGUGAGUAACACGUGGAUAACCUACCUAUAAGACUGGGAUAACUUCGGGAAACCGGAGCUAAUACCGGAUAAUAUAUUGAACCGCAUGGUUCAAUAGUGAAAGACGGUUUUGCUGUCACUUAUAGAUGUAUCCGCGCCGCAUUAGCUAGUUGGUAAGGUAACGGCUUACCAAGGCAACGAUGCGUAGCCGACCUGAGAGGGUGAUCGGCCACACUGGAACUGAGACACGGUCCAGACUCCUACGGGAGGCAGCAGUAGGGAAUCUUCCGCAAUGGGCGAAAGCCUGACGGAGCAACGCCGCGUGAGUGAUGAAGGUCUUCGGAUCGUAAAACUCUGUUAUUAGGGAAGAACAAAUGUGUAAGUAACUAUGCACGUCUUGACGGUACCUAAACAGAAAGCCACGGCUAACUACGUG